GAUGAAGAACGUAGCGAAAUGCGAUAAGUAAUGUGAAUUGCAGAAUUCAGUGAAUCAUCGAAUCUUUGAACGCACAUUGCGCCCGCCAGUAUUCUGGCGGGCAUGCCUGUUCGAGCGUCAUUUCAACCCUCAGGGCCCUUUUGGACCUGGCGUUGGGGCUCGGCCGCUACCCUGCGGCCGUCCCCGAAAGAUAGUGGCGGUCUCGCUGUAGCCUCCUCUGCGUAGUAGUUACAUCUCGCACUGGAACGCGGCGCGGCCAUGCCGUUAAACACCCCACUUCUCAAGGUUGACCUCGGAUCAGGUAGGAAUACCCGCUGAACUUAAGCAUAUCGAUAAGCGGAGGA
rnacentral:misc_RNA from 1 species